GGCUUCAGUCUGUUGAGAGCAGAGAAAUCAUUUCCAUAGAGAGGAGGCUUUGCAUCGUCAGCUGAUCCUCCAGUGAACUGAGAAGGUUUAUAGUUCUGUGAGUUCAACACUGCAGGACUCAGAUCUGUCAGUCAACACGUCAGAAACUACAACCACCAUGACUCUCAUCACCAUCCUCAUCUGGACGCUGGCCUGCUGCUGCCUCAAAGGAUCUAGUAGUGAACUGACUGUCACUCAACCAGCUGUUAUCACAUCUUCUCCUGGAGCCACAGUCACUCUGACCUGUAAAACCAACCCAAAAGUUAAGACAUGGUCAGAUGGAGAUAGUAGAGUACACUGGUAUCAGCAGAAAUCUGGAGAAGCUCCCAAGUUGGUCAUCAAACUGGGUAAAAAUCCUACAAGUGAGUUUUCUUCCAGAUUCUCUGGCAGAGGAGACGGAGUGAAUGCUGAGAUGACCAUCAGUAGAGUUCAGACUGAAGAUGCAGCAGUUUAUUACUGUGAGAGAUACGAUGAAAUAAGCAGUGCUUGGGUGUUCACACAGUCAUUUGUAGUCGUACAGAAACCUCCCUCAGUCAGACUGCAGAGACACUGAGCUGUUAUAGCAGGAACCAUGUGCAGCUGCUGAAGAGGAAGAGACUCAGACCAAUGAACACAGAGCUGACAGUAAUCUCACUAAGCACAAACUACAGAUUCAUAUUAAUACAUUGAUUAAAAGACUUUUAAAAUCUAAGGACAC